rnacentral:lncRNA from 1 species
GCCAAGUGAGGAUGGACAGAGGGUCGCCAUACUCAAGUAAUUAAUGUACUAGUUUUUUAUUUUUCUGUAGCCUAACUGAAUCAUAGGUCUAGCUAAAUUCUGGGUUCAGUAGGCAAUAUUGUUAUUUGAGAUCUCCAUUUACUUGUUGGUAUAAACCAAUAUGUUCCAAUGCCUCUAAGGAAAAUAUGUUACACUUAAAUUAUAGUCCAAGGGGAUUUUGAUCAUGUAUUAUAUUUUUUAUUUACUAGAUAGCCACAAAAGAAAACUUCUUUGUUGCUUCAUGCUGCUAUACCAUCUUUGACAAACUGUUUGCAUUGUGUGUAGGAGCUCGUUCCUCCAAGUACAAGGACCCAGAGAUAUCAUCCGGUGAAGAAGAGGAAGACUUAGGUACAUAUUCUUAUGUUUCUUGUUUCUUUACUAAUAUUGCGUCCGGAAUUGUAUGGUUUAAUAUUGAUUCCGGAGUUGUAUGGUUCAGAAUCAAACCCUGCAAAUAGUGCUUAUAUUUAAUCAUUAGAACAAAAUAAUUUGGGGCUAGACAAAAAUGAAGAACCUGAUGUCACAUUAAAUCAUGUAUGCUGAUCUGCACUGACGUAUUUUUUGUAUAUAUAACUUGCAACAUCCAUCAAUGUCUAUUUUAUAGAAUUAUAUCCUUCAGUGUAUGAGACUACCUAACAUAUUGGAAACUGCAGAUUUAGAUCUGACCCUGAACAUAGAAGAUGACUACAAAGACGAGGUUAAACCCAUGCCCGGCUCACCUCCAACAGAUGUGGUAGACUCACCUGAUGAAGACGAGAAGAGGGCUUGGCACAAUGAGGAGAGGAGA